AAUGAUGGAGGUGCAGGCAUUUCCUGAGGAUUAAUGACCAGCUGGGAGGAACCAGUGGCCCUUGGCUCUGCCUCCCAGCCAGCCAUUAAUUCCAAGGAAAUGUCUUUUGCUAAGAUCGUU
rnacentral:pre_miRNA from 1 species